GCCAGGUGCAGUGGAGCACACCUGUAAUCCCAGCAACUUGGGAGGCUGAGGCAGGAGGAUCAUAAGUUUGAGGCCAGCCUCAGCAAUUUAGCAAGGGCCUAAACAACUUAGUGAGACCUUAUCUCAA
rnacentral:sRNA from 1 species